UACGAAGGGGCUAGCGUUGUUCGGAAUUACUGGGCGUAAAGCGCGCGCAGGCGGCCUUCAAGUCAGGGGUGAAAGCCCGGAGCUCAACUCCGGAAUUGCCUUUGAAACUGUCAGGCUCGAGUACGGGAGAGGUGAGUGGAAUUCCCAGUGUAGAGGUGAAAUUCGUAGAUAUUGGGAAGAACACCGGUGGCGAAGGCGGCUCACUGGCCCGUUUCUGACGCUCAGGCGCGACAGCGUGGGAUCGAAAC
rnacentral:rRNA from 1 species